rnacentral:rRNA from 1 species
CAAUGAUCAGCUCCAGAGGAAGAGCCGGCUAACUCUGUGCCAGCAGCCGCGGUAAUACAGAGGGCUCCAGCGUUAAUCGGAAUUACUGGGCUUAAAGGGUGCGUAGGCGGGCUGCAAGUGCUUUGUGAAAUACCACGGCUCAACCGUGGAACUGCUUGGCAGACUGCAGGUCUUGAGGUUGGUAGGGGCUGCCGGAACUCUAGGUGUAGCGGUGAAAUGCGUAGAUAUCUAGAGGAACACCAAAGGUGAAGACAGGCAGCUGGGCCAGUCCUGACGCUGAGGCACGAAAGCGUGGGUAGCGAACGGGAUUAGAUACCCCGGUAGUCCACGCCCUAAACGAUGUGUAUGGAUCGUGGAGGUUUUGACGCCAUCAUGGUCGAAGCAAAAGUGUUAAGUACACCGCCUGGGGAGUACGGUCGCAAGAUUAAAACUCAAAGGAAUUGACGGGGGCUCACACAAGCGGUGGAGCAUGUGGCUUAAUUCGAAGCAACGCGAAGAACCUUACCUGGGCUUGACAUGCACGGAUUAACUCCCUGAAAGGGGAGCAACGCCUUCGGGUGGAACGUGCACAGGUGCUGCAUGGCUGUCGUCAGCUCGUGCUGUGAAGUGUCGGGUUAAGUCCCUUAACGAGCGAAACCCCUGUCGUUAGUUGCUACCAGGUAAUGCUGAGGACUCUAGCGAGACUGCCGGUGUCAAACCGGAGGAAGGUGGGGAUGACGUCAAGUCCUCAUGGCCUUUAUGCCCAGGGCUGCACACGUGCUACAAUGGCGUGAACAGAGCGAAGCGAUACCGCAAGGUGGAGCAAAUCGCAAAAAACACGCCCCAGUUCGGAUAGUGGUCUGCAAUUCGACCACUUGAAGUCGGAAUCGCUAGUAAUCGCGUAUCAGCUACGACGCGGUGAAUAAGUUCCUGAGCCUUGUACACACCGCCCGUCAAGUCAUGGAAGCUGGUAGUACCCGAAGCCGUCCCGAUUCAGGGAUGUCGACGGUAAGAUUGGUGACUGGG